CGGUCACAUCACGUUGAAACAUCGGUUCUCGUACGAUCACCGAAGUUAAACAACCUCAAGCCUGGUCAGUAACUAGAUGGGUGACCGCUUGGGUAUAACAGGUGCUGUAAG